rnacentral:misc_RNA from 1 species
UUGUGGAGGAGGACGCCGAAGGUGGGGCUAAUGACUGGGGUGAAGUCGUAACAAGGUAGCCGUACCGGAAGGUGCGGCUGGAUCACCUCCUAACAGGGAGACAACAAAAUGUUAAAUAUUAAUUUUGUCACCUUAGGUCGAUCGGUAUCUCACAUUCUUGAUUUUAUUGAGGAUUUCAUUUCCUAAGUUUUUUCUAGGUCACACCCAUCACUUUUCCUGGGCCAUUAGCUCAGGUGGUUAGAGCGCACCCCUGAUAAGGGUGAGGUCCCUGGUUCAAGUCCAGGAUGGCCCAUAUCUCUAUGUUGGGGGUAUAGCUCAGUUGGUAGAGCGCCUGCUUUGCAAGCAGGAUGUCAGCGGUUCGAGUCCGCUUACCUCCACUGAUCACCACCUCUUCCAUAAUUUUAUAGAAGGGAAUUGUUUUGAGUUGUGAUCAAGAUCUGAACGAAUCUAGCUUCCUAAUCAAACUUAUUAAGAUGCUGGACUCAUUGAAUUAAUUUCAUUGUUUUCAGAGAACCUUGACAACUGCAUAGAUUAUUUUUAAAGACAAUAAGCAUCUUUAAUGAUGCAGAUUUAUUAUUUGUGCGAAUGCAUUAAUAACAAUUCUAUUAAGCUGAUGCUUCAAUUAUUGAAGUUAUUGGUCAAGCUACAA